GAAUUCGCUUAAAACAUGCGAUACAUUGAUAAAUUAUUAUAAUAUUGUUGUACUAUUUGCAUUUUAUAGCUCACAAAUUUUGUGCAUCAGCAUAUUACCUAUAUAUACUUAUAAUCGGCAAAGGAUGCAGGGAUGUACACACACGUAGCGUGACGUAUUAUUGCACAAAAUGCAUGAGGAUCACAACCCACAGGUAUAUUUCGUCUGUACUUGUGUCAAUAACUUGUCCAAAAUUUGAACUCGUCAUCCGCCGACUCUGGAAGGGUAGACCAUGAUAGUGAACGAUACCACCGUUACGACGGUCAAUCAGGAUACGAUAAAAAUCGCACAUCAUGACAGACGGGAAUACGAGAUGUAUACAGCUAUUGAGCUAUACGCAUUAUGCAAUGUGAAUCCAGCUUAUAUAUAGGGCAAUGAACCGAAUUCAAUAAAAUUGAUCUAUACAGAAAUACAUGAGAAAAAACGUGUGGAUCAUACGCUCUAAUCCCAAUAAAAACGUUAUCAGACAAGAAAUAAGAAAUGAAAAAUAUACGCAGAGCUGGUUUACCUGCAUCGUGUUUGGCGUAUUAUUUACAUCAUUAUUCAUAAGGGUAACACGAAAAAUGGGAAAACUCGAUGAGGUCUAUUCUAUUCAAUGUACUAUAUAAGUUGAUGAUGAUGGUAAGCAUUAAUAUUUUAAUAUUAUACAAACAUACAAAUACAACAGAAACUACUUAUGUUAUUUUAUUGUUCAUUAUAAUCAUUAAAUGAAUACCUACAAU